rnacentral:lncRNA from 1 species
GGACAAUGGAGGCCGAAGUCACCAGCGCUUCUGCUUCCGGUUUGUCUCCGGAGUCAUGGCGACCACAAGGGGACUGACAUUAAGUAGAUGGCGCCGGAGCCGUCGAGUGGAUCCCCAACAUCGUGUAAGUGUCUGUUUCCUCUGCUCUCCGGUGACAGGGUGUGGGGAGAUACUUAUGCAUCUCCUCCUCUGGGGAAGUGCCUGCGUCCGUCCUUUCUGCCUGACAGACCGCUUUUUUCCCAGCCUCCAGGUCUCACUGCCCUCAUUCCCAGCGUGACCCACGUAAUAACAAGUCCGAUUUUCUGGGGAAGAAGCCCCACCGGCAGCACCCUGGCAUCGUGCAGCUUCCGCACGUGCGGCUGCCACAGAGAGCACGGUGUCCAGUGUAGAGGAGAAGGGACUCACCUCCAGUCCUCCUUCUCACUCCAGGCUCACCUCAGACAGAGAAGAAACUCCUCAGAGCUGUGCCAUGUGCCCUGCACAGAGUCACUGACAGGAACUGAGCUAUAA